rnacentral:rRNA from 1 species
CGAGCGGAAGGCCCUUCGGGGUACUCGAGCGGCGAACGGGUGAGUAACACGUGAGCAACCUGCCCCAGGCUUUGGGAUAACCCCGGGAAACCGGGGCUAAUACCGAAUAUGACCUCUGACCGCAUGGUUGGUGGUGGAAAGUUUUUCGGCUUGGGAUGGGCUCGCGGCCUAUCAGCUUGUUGGUGGGGUGAUGGCCUACCAAGGCGACGACGGGUAGCCGGCCUGAGAGGGCGACCGGCCACACUGGGACUGAGACACGGCCCAGACUCCUACGGGAGGCAGCAGUGGGGAAUAUUGCACAAUGGGCGGAAGCCUGAUGCAGCGACGCCGCGUGAGGGAUGACGGCCUUCGGGUUGUAAACCUCUUUCAGCAGGGACGAAGCGUAAGUGACGGUACCUGCAGAAGAAGCGCCGGCCAACUACGUGCCAGCAGCCGCGGUAAGACGUAGGGCGCGAGCGUUGUCCGGAUUUAUUGGGCGUAAAGAGCUCGUAGGCGGCUUGUCGCGUCGACCGUGAAAACUUGGGGCUCAACCCCAAGCCUGCGGUCGAUACGGGCAGGCUAGAGUUCGGUAGGGGAGACUGGAAUUCCUGGUGUAGCGGUGAAAUGCGCAGAUAUCAGGAGGAACACCGGUGGCGAAGGCGGGUCUCUGGGCCGAUACUGACGCUGAGGA